GACGAACGCUGGCGGCGCGCUUAACACAUGCGAGUCGAACGGAAAGGCCUGCUUUCCCUUGUGGAUUGCGGGUACUCGAGUGGCGAACGGGUGAGUAACACGUGAGUGAUCUGCCCCCAACUUGGGUAUAAGCCUGGGAAACUGGGUCUAAUUCCCGAUAGGACUGCAGGGUGGUGCCUGUGGUGGAAAACGAUUUUCUAGUGGUUGGGGAUGAGCUCGCGGCCUAUCAGCUUGUUGGUGGGGUAAUGGCCUACCAAGGCGGCGACGGGUAGCCGGCCUGGGAGGGUGGACGGCCACAUUGGGACUGAGAUACGGCCCAGACUCCUACGGAAGGCAGCAGUGGGGAAUAUUGCACAAUGGGCGGAAGCCUGAUGCAGCGACGCCGCGUGGGGGAUGACGGCCUUCGGGUUGUAAACUCCUUUCGACCGCGAGGAAGCCACCUGGUUGGAAGGGUGGUGACGGUAGUGGUAGAAGAAGCACCGGCUAACUACGUG
rnacentral:rRNA from 1 species